GUUUAAUUUGUGUUGUUUAUGUCACGGAGUUAAUUACAUGCAAAUUAAAAAUUCAAUAUAUAGAAUUUGCACCUGAAACCUACUACCUAGUGGAUGGAUGUGAUUGAAUAUCUAAAAUGUUAUUAAGAAAAUUCUCUUUAUUUAUUUUUCAUUUUCAUUUUUAUUUAUUUGUACACACAGAGCUACAAACUCAUUUACGUUAAACGUAAUUAAACCUACGUCAUUUCCUCUCCCCGGUUCGCGCAUGCGUAGCCAGAGGUUUCAAAUUAUCCUGGAAAGGCGUGCUCUCGUUUCUCAAACAUUUUGUCGUCGACGUCGAGUGCGUUUAGAUGUCACGGGAGGCAAGCUAACUUGACACAAACUACCUUUUUUACGUUUAAACUGCAUAAUGAAGCAGUUUUAUGUGAUGUUCAGCCUUUUUAUGGACACUGGUGCGUUAGUUUUUUGUCGAUAAACUUUUUUUUGUAGGUAAAUUAACCUGCUACCGUGUGUUUAGUGCUGCGGUCUAGCGUUUUCUUCUCUGUAAACACUCACUAAACAGCGGAUGGAUCGUCCGGAAAAGGGGACACCCAAAAUGUGGGACGGCGAGACCGGUGGGUGAAAGGAAAAUGUGUUCAUCAGUGCCUCAAAGACAACACCGCCAAGGUUCUUCCACACUGUGUAUGAGGAGGAGUUUGGCAGGAGUCAAAGGUCAUUUUGGUCCCAUCAACUGUGGCUUUCUACCCUUAUGGCAAGAGAUGCCAUGGAGGAGAAGACGAAGACUAACACAGCAACUUUAUUUGAAGCAGAUCGCUUGUUGGACUUGUAAGUGUUUUACUGAAUUGUGCAAGUUGAUUGCUAUUAAGUUUUUCCUGACUUAGUUUUUUUUUAGUUCACUUUUUUGUACUUAGUAUAUAUUUUUUUUAGCUUUACAUUUCAUUUUUAACUUAGUUGUGUAGUGCAUUCAUUGUGUAAUUUGCUUGCUAUUGUAACAGAUUUUAAUUUUUUUAACUUAGUUUUUUUUUUUACUUAGUAUAUAUAUUUUUCAGCUUUUGUUCUUUUUUUUUUUUUGCUUUUUAUAGUGUAUUAGCCUUAUUGUUCCUUUUCUUCCUGGUUAUAUAGUGCAAUCAUUGUGUAAUUUGUAUGCUGUAUUUGAAACCUUCAAUAAAAAUAAAAAAAUUGCCUAUAUUGUGCAUUCAUUUCAAGAUAUUGAGCCAAAAAAUGAAGAAUAUGAAUGGGUUUUCUCAUUGCGCUAUAGGGCAUGCAUUGUCAAAGUCAAAGUCAAAGGCAAAGACAAAGUCAAGGGUUAUACUAG